AUUGAACGCUGGCGGCAUGCUUUACACAUGCAAGUCGGACGGCAGCACAGAGAAGCUUGCUUCUUGGGUGGCGAGUGGCGAACGGGUGAGUAAUAUAUCGGAACGUACCGAGUAAUGGGGGAUAACUAAUCGAAAGAUUAGCUAAUACCGCAUAUUCUCUGAGGAGGAAAGCAGGGGACCUUCGGGCCUUGCGUUAUUCGAGCGGCCGUUAUCUGAUUAGCUAGUUGGUGGGGUAAAGGCCUACCAAGGCGACGAUCAGUAGCGGGUCUGAGAGGAUGAUCCGCCACACUGGGACUGAGACACGGCCCAGACUCCUACGGGAGGCAGCAGUGGGGAAUUUUGGACAAUGGGCGCAAGCCUGAUCCAGCCAUGCCGCGUGUCUGAAGAAGGCCUUCGGGUUGUAAAGGACUUUUGUCAGGGAAGAAAAGGCUGUUGCUAAUAUCGACAGCUGAUGACGGUACCUGAAGAAUAAGCACCGGCUAACUACGUG
rnacentral:rRNA from 1 species